rnacentral:rRNA from 1 species
GCGCAGCAGGCGAGAAUACUUUACAAUGUGCGAAAGCACGAUAAGGGAACUCUGAGUGCCUCCUAAGGAGGCUGUUCAGGUGUCUAAAAGCACCUGAAGGAAGGGCUGGGUAAGACCGGUGCCAGCCGCCGCGGUAACACCGGCAGCCCAAGUGGUAGCCACGUUUAUUGGGUCUAAAGCGUCCGUAGCCGGCUGGGUAAGUUCCUUGGGAAAUUUGGCUGCUUAACAGUCAAGCUUUCAGGGAAUACUGCUCGGCUUGGGACCGGGAGAGGUCAGAGGUACUCCAGGGGUAGGGUGAAAUCCAUUAAUCCUUGGGGGACCACCGGUAGCGAAGGCGUCUGACCAGACCGGGUCCGACGGUGAGGGACGAAGGCUAGGGGCGCGAACCGGAUUAGAUACCCGUGUA